GUACACGGUGUGACUAGCAUAUCAAUAAGCGGAGGAAAAGAAACUAACAAGGAUUCCCCUAGUAACGGCGAGUGAAGCGGGAAGAGCUCAAAUUUGAAAUCUUAAAGGGUUUCCCUUUACGAAUUGUAGUUUAAAGAAGUGUUUUCUGUUGAGGUUUUGGUAAAAGUUCUUUGGAAUAGGACAUCAUAGAGGGUGAGAAUCCCGUAUUUGACCUUUACUUUCAACUUUGUGAUACACUUUCAAAGAGUCGGAUUGUUUGGGAAUGCAGUCCAAAAUGGGUGGUAAAUUUCAUCUAAAGCUAAAUAUUGGCGAGAGACCGAUAGCGAACAAGUACCGUGAGGGAAAGAUGAAAAGAACUUUGAAAAGAGAGUUAAACAGUACGUGAAAUUGUCAAAAGGGAAGCGUUUGACACCAGUGUUGUUUUUCUGAAAAUCAAUUAAAGAACUGUUUAUGCUAAGCUGUUUAGACUUUAUCAGCUAUCUGUUUAGUUUUGAGCUUUUCUUUAAUGCACUUUUCAGUUAACAAGUCAACAUCAAUUUCUUUUGCUGUAAAAAAGCUUGAGGAAGGUGGCUUGAGAUUCGUCUUAAGUGUUUAUAGCCUCUUGCCUAUGCAGUCGGAGAGAUUGAGGUCUGCAGCGUAGAUCCUUCGGGGCUAAAUGCAUUUGUGCUAAGUUAUAACAUUUUAUAGACAACUUGUUGACUAUGAUUUGUCUUGUAGCUUACUCGCUUAUGUUAUUUUACCUACGCUUAGGAUGUUGACGAGACUGUCGAUCUC
rnacentral:rRNA from 1 species